rnacentral:lncRNA from 1 species
GACACUGGUCCUCGGGGGUCACAGUCACGUUGACAAACCUGGGAAAACGGGAGAGACGCCCCCCACUGCGCUGGCUCCCCCAGCCGGCCACCUGGCAUCUGGUGCCGGCUUCCACCGUGGCGUUCUGCAGAGGCAGUGGCAGUAUCGUCACGCUGCUGGUGAGGUUCUGCUGGGGGUCGUAGCCAUUCUCGCUCAUGCUGCUGAUGGAAAACGUCUGGCGGGACUGCCUCUCCCGCCGCCUCAGGUCAUAGGCACCCAGCACCACGGUGCUAACCCCGGGGUUCCUGAGAGUAGCGGAGGAAAGGGCAGAGGGAGGACACCAGACUGCAAUCCUUCACCCUGAAAACUCCCCCGCUUUUACAGAAGCAGAGCCGAGACUUUCCAGGGCCCCCUUCCCAUCUUGAGCCCCUUCCCUUCUCUGCGCCUCCUCCUCCAUCUGAGCCCCUUCUCUUCUCUGCGCCCCCUCCUCCAUCUGAGUCCCUUCCCUUCUCUGAGCCUCCUCCAUCUGACCCCCUCCCCUUCUCUGCACCUCCUC